rnacentral:tRNA from 1 species
GGAGAGGUAUCGAAGCGGUCAUAACGAGGCGGUCUUGAAAACCGUUUGUCCGAGAGGGCACAAGGGUUCGAAUCCCUUCCUCUCCG